rnacentral:rRNA from 1 species
AACGAACGCUGGCGGCAUGCCUAACACAUGCAAGUCGAACGAGACCUUCGGGUCUAGUGGCGCACGGGUGCGUAACGCGUGGGAAUCUGCCCUUAGGUUCGGAAUAACUUCGGGAAACUGAAGCUAAUACCGGAUGAUGACGUAAGUCCAAAGAUUUAUCGCCUAAGGACGAGCCCGCGUAGGAUUAGCUAGUUGGUGAGGUAAAAGCUCACCAAGGCGACGAUCCUUAGCUGGUCUGAGAGGAUGAUCAGCCACACUGGGACUGAGACACGGCCCAGACUCCUACGGGAGGCAGCAGUGGGGAAUAUUGGACAAUGGGCGAAAGCCUGAUCCAGCAAUGCCGCGUGAGUGAUGAAGGCCCUAGGGUUGUAAAGCUCUUUUACCCGGGAUGAUAAUGACAGUACCGGAGAAUAAGCCCC